CCGUGAGCCUUCGGCCCUCACCAACGUCGUCUCUCACCAUACUGUCGAAUUCAGACCAGCCACCGGCCCACCACCACACCAUACACUCGUCUCUGACUCUCCAGCCUUCCUUCACCACACAACCACCGCUCUCUCUCGCGAUCUCUCUCUCUAGGGCGAUUGUCUUUCACGGACAAGUUAGGUCACAGAACUGGGGAUCUCUCUCACGGUCUCACCACCACACCGAGUCUGAGUCUCACUCUCACCCCAAAUUAGGUUGUUUUUCUUGAAUCAUUUAUUCUCGAGCAGCUUUUAAAGGUUUAGCAUACAAGCGCUAUAAGAUGGACGGAUCUAGUAGCCAAUCUAGUACACAUAUGGUCUCGGUAUUAGGAAAAC